UGUGGGGUAGCAAAGUGGUAAUGCACCCGCCUGUUAAGCGGGCACACGUGGGUUCGAUCCCCACCCCUACAGCCA
rnacentral:tRNA from 1 species